rnacentral:siRNA from 1 species
UACCAUCUGGAAUACUUGAACUACCA